AUUAUUUUUUCUAAAAAAAAAAAAAAAAAAAAAAAAAAAUCUGUUCUUAUCAUUUUAAUAUCUAAUACGUCCCCCAUCGGGGGACUACAUAUUAAAUGGAUUUUUCGAACAGGGAGUCGGAAAUGGGGCUUGCUCCGUCCGCUCCACGCAUCGACCCGGUAUUGCAGUACCUCCGGGAACGGUGCAACACUU
rnacentral:snRNA from 8 species